rnacentral:tRNA from 1 species
GAGCAAAAAUUAGAUGCGUUGGCUCUGAAAAAAUCAGCCUAAUUUUUUUGUUUUUUCGGAAGUAAUUUGUACAUUUGUGGUGAAGAUUAUGGAGCGAAUUGUUUAAGGCAAGCGUCGGGUUCAAAUCCCGAAUCGUUCACCA